rnacentral:rRNA from 1 species
CCUACGGGAGGCAGCAGUAAGGAAUAUUGGUCAAUGGACGAAAGUCUGAACCAGCUAUGCCGCGUGAAGGAUUAAGGUCCUCUGGAUUGUAAACUUCUUUUAUAUGGGACGAAAAAAGGUCUUUCUAGAUCACUUGACGGUACCAUAUGAAUAAGCACCGGCUAACUCCGUGCCAGCAGCCGCGGUAAUACGGAGGGUGCAAGCGUUAUCCGGAUUCACUGGGUUUAAAGGGUGCGUAGGCGGGCAGGUAAGUCAGUGGUGAAAUCCUGGAGCUCAACUCCAGAACUGCCAUUGAUACUAUCUGUCUUGAAUAUUGUGGAGGUAAGCGGAAUAUGUCAUGUAGCGGUGAAAUGCUUAGAUAUGACAUAGAACACCUAUUGCGAAGGCAGCUUACUACGCAUAUAUUGACGCUGAGGCACGAAAGCGUGGGGAUCAAACAGGAUUAGAUACCCUGGUAGUCCACGCCCUAAACGAUGGAUACUCGACAUAUGCGAUACACUGUAUGUGUCUGAGCGAAAGCAUUAAGUAUCCCACCUGGGAAGUACGUUCGCAAGAAUGAAACUCAAAGGAAUUGACGG